rnacentral:rRNA from 1 species
UACGAGGGGGGCAAGCGUUGUUCGGAAUUAUUGGGCGUAAAGGGUGCGUAGGCGGUUUGGUAAGUCUGUCGUGAAAGCCCCGGGCUUAACCUGGGAAUUGCGAUGGAGACUGCAAGGCUUGAAUCUGGCAGAGGGGGGUAGAAUUCCACGUGUAGCAGUGAAAUGCGUAGAGAUGUGGAGGAACACCGAUGGCGAAGGCAGCCCCCUGGGUCAAGAUUGACGCUCAUGCACGAAAGCGUGAGGAGCAAACAGG